rnacentral:rRNA from 1 species
GAUGAACGCUGGCGGCGUGCUUAACACAUGCAAGUCGAACGAACCUUCGGGUUAGUGGCGGACGGGUGAGUAACGCGUGAGAAUCUGCCCUCAGGAGGGGGAUAACGGCUGGAAACGGCCGCUAAUACCCCAUAUGCCGAGAGGUGAAAUGAAUUUCGCCUGGGGAUGAGCUCGCGUCUGAUUAGCUAGUUGGUGGGGUAAAGGCCUACCAAGGCGACGAUCAGUAGCUGGUCUGAGAGGAUGAUCAGCCACACUGGGACUGAGACACGGCCCAGACUCCUACGGGAGGCAGCAGUGGGGAAUUUUCCGCAAUGGGCGAAAGCCUGACGGAGCAACGCCGCGUGAGGGAUGAAGGCCUCUGGGCUGUAAACCUCUUUUAUCAAGGAAGAAGAUCUGACGGUACUUGAUGAAUAAGCCACGGCUAAUUCCGUG